GAAUGGGAAGGGAAGACCAAUUUAUAAAAAUUAGGAACUGUCGAAUUCACCCCAAAUGGUAAAAUAUGGUGAAGAGAGAGAGGAAAAAGAUGCUCGACACGAAAAAUGAGGGAGGAAAGUCUCCUCUGUCGCCGGCAGCGGUUCAUUGCCUGAAGCGUCAGUGGCUUGCCUGGUGCGCUGCAGGUGCACAGGCCUCUUUCCGUGCACGCAGGGCCUAAGUGCGCUGGGCACCGCGCAUACAGGCCUACUGCGCGCAAGUUCUAGGCGCACAAGGGCCU
rnacentral:lncRNA from 1 species